UGAGCUUGAUCCUGGCUCAGGAUGAACGCUAGCGGGAGGCCUAACACAUGCAAGCCGAGCGGUAUUGUUUCUUCGGAAAUGAGAGAGCGGCGUACGGGUGCGGAACACGUGUGCAACCUGCCUUUAUCUGGGGGAUAGCCUUUCGAAAGGAAGAUUAAUACCCCAUAACAUAUUGAGUGGCAUCACUUAAUAUUGAAAACUCCGGUGGAUAGAGAUGGGCACGCGCAAGAUUAGAUAGUUGGUGAGGUAACGGCUCACCAAGUCAAUGAUCUUUAGGGGGCCUGAGAGGGUGAUCCCCCACACUGGUACUGAGACACGGACCAGACUCCUACGGGAGGCAGCAGUGAGGAAUAUUGGACAAUGGGUGAGAGCCUGAUCCAGCCAUCCCGCGUGAAGGACGACGGCCCUAUGGGUUGUAAACUUCUUUUGUAUAGGGAUAAACCUUUCCACGUGUGGAAAGCUGAAGGUAC
rnacentral:rRNA from 1 species